GUCCCCUGGCCAUGGAUAGAGAGACACCUUGCUGGUGGUGUCCUUAUGUCAGUCAGGGAUCGUACAGUUGACAGUAGUCCUUCGUUCAUUCUAGCUUGAUGCCUGGCUUGGUGGCCAAAGCUGUUUUAUACCUAGGAUACAUAA